CUCCGUGCGCUUUGCAGGUAUUUUAACUGCAGCUCCCCCGGGGUGCAGGCCUGCAGCCUUCCUGCCUCCUGCUGCAUCGACCCCCGAGAAGAUGGAGCCUCUGUCAACGACCAGUGCGGCUUCGGGGUCCUGGGCCUGGAUGCGGACGCAGCUCAGAGAGUGGUGCACCUGGAGGGCUGCGGCCCGCCGCUCCGGCGGUGGCUGCGCGCAAACCUGGCGGCCUCGGGCGGCUACGCGAUCGCGGUGGUGCUGCUGCAGGGCGCAGAGCUCCUGCUGGUCGCCCGGCUGCUCCGGGUACUCGCUGCCCGCAGGGGCUCGGCGUCGGGCCCAGGAGCGCGCGGGGAGGACCGCGCUGGCCCCCAGAUCCCGGCCCCGGCGCCCCGCCCGCUGCCAAACCCGCCCGGGGCUGAGCGCACGCCCUGGAGUCCGAGGCUGCCACGCACAGGGAUACAGGGGGCCCCCCCGUCCGGCUAAAACGCGCUGCCUGCGCCGCCGCCGCCGCCGCCUGAUUUCGCUCGGGCUUCCGGAGACUUCGCCGUGAGACCUACCUAGCUUGCCCAGGCCGCGCGCUCUGCGUCCCCCACGCCAGCCCCCAACGGAGGGCGCCCGGCAAACCCACGGUAUUGGCGUGAGGAGCACGCGGGGCCGGAGGAAAUCCUGGAGCUGACCCUCACCUCCGAACCCCCACUCCCCCCCAGGCGCACAGGUCCCCCCUCCUGGCACCUCCUUCCCCUGGGGCCGCCACACUUUCUGGGCUCGUGGUGGUGGAGCUAAGGUCCAGGCCUCUCCCUGCCGAGUGCAUUUUUGGGGAAAGAGUAAUGUUUUAUUGGGGUGUAUCAUUCACACAGUAAAGACACCAAUCUUC